UUUGCACUUUUUGAUGAGUGGUUGUAUGACAACAUGUUUUAAAGCAGCUGGGGCACAACCAGAUGUCAGGGAUGAAUGAUUAGGUCCACAAUACAUGGCUCAAGAAUAUUAAAAACCUCCUUGAAGAGGUGUGGUGGAAUACUGUCUAGGGGACAAUAAGAACCCAGAUAGCAAGACGACAUUGAAUCUAUGUUGAUUUUUCAUCCAAACCGUCGUAUAUGGUCGGGGUUGAAAUGCCAAUGUUGUAACAACAUUGAAAUACUGUGGUAAACCGACGGUCUUACUAUAGUGACGUUGUAACGAUGUUGAUUCACCGUUGUUUUUUUGUCAUUGAUAUUUGAUCUAUUUAUAGUCGACCAGGUGACAACAACAACGUCGAGAAAACGUCUAUUUAUAGUUGACGAUCAUUCGGCUCCGGUCACCAUCAAAAACCAUCGAUUUGUAGUUGAGCAUUAAAUUGCACUGCAACUGAUCGGGUAUAAAGUACCAGAGAAAGUAGAUUUAUUGUUCAUUUGUUAUCAAUGACUUGGUCUAGUUCACCAGCUUUAAAAAAUCGUGUCUACGUGCAAUUUAUGUAUAGUUGACCGAAAUUAAAGCAGCGAUCACUUGGACUAUUCCGCAGCACCCCUCUCACAUUGGUACAUCCCCCCAGGUAUUCAUUGUCUUCUACAGUAGAGCGGGACAUUUGAUUUACCGGAGAAGGCAUCAGUUCAUGCACUGCACUGGCCUGCACCACGAUUAGUAUAAGGCACAUUUCACGAAGCAGAACGCAGUCUUCAGAGAUAUCCACGUGAACGCUGUGAUACGUCUGACCUUCAGUCCGAAAAAGAAAACCCGGACCAGUCUUAAAAGAAAGCACAAACUAAAUCCCCUGUACACAUAUAUGGACUCAGAGGAUGAGCAGCCUACAAAAAAACGGUUUCCCCAGGACCCUCGAGUGAAAAUACCAGCCCUCAUCACUCCGCAGUCUGCCCCCCAGCCCACUGAUAGCAACCAUCAUAAUGCCCCACCCAGCUUCCGGCACCUUUCGCCACUCCGGCACAAACCGACACAGCUUUGCGAUCUCGCCAGCAUGCAGAGUCUGAUGUCUUCCCUAUAGAUGAUUCCAGAGACUCUGUGAGGCCACUAUUACAAGGCAAGUUUGAAAAUCUUGGAAUUUCACAGUUUACAUGGUAUAACAAAUAUAUGUGACAGGCAAAAACUAGUAAACACUUUUAGCAGUUACAAGAACUAACAAAUGAAUAUCCAACAAAAGGGAAUAGAAAUACAUUGUACUGCCAAUACUUUGGUUUAUUCUUUGUAUGACUUGAAAAUCAGGCUUUAGGGAAAACUAAAUGACAUGUUUCUAUCAUCAAUUACAUGAAGUAAACACACAAGCACUUGCAUACACAUUUAAGACAUGAGACACGCUAAUUCCAUCUCAUAAAAUGUGUCUAUAGGUGAGACGCUUUGCGUUGAUUGGUGCUGCUGGACCACACUGGAGGUGCGAGUCCGCCGUGUAAUGGUUUAUGCCAUUACAAAGGAGCUGGCCUCUGUACUCAACUGGGCAGGGAAAAAAAAACCAAGGACCAGACAAAGCAAAAAAGGGCAUUUAAAGAUACAGCGCUGUGCAGAUGCAUAUUUGGUAAGUUUUAACAUUUAUUGUACUUUUAUGAGCCUAAAGUGAACAAUAAAGGGAUCAAUUGAUGUGCUGGGUGCGUUUCACAUUUCCUAUGUCUGUUUUUUGCUAUAUUACUUUGUCUUUCUUAAUAACAAGACUUUCAUGUCCGGUUAAUCUGGAGAUGGAGUCUUUGGUCUUCAGCUUGUUUUGUCCUCGGGUUGUACACUUUGUACAGCCCGAGGACCCCAUGUUUUCUUUUUUUUUUUAAAGGAUACACGGCACACCAUGCUAAGACAUAUCACAUUUUCAGCUUAUAGCUCUUUGGGAAUCAAAUGCGGCAGUUUGCUGAUUUCCGCCUGGUGACUUUAAUGUUUAUCAGCCUAGGAGUUUACAUACUUUCUCCCUGCUGAAGACAAUUAACAAGAGCUUAUUCAUGUGCUCUAAUUCCCUUUUUUUGUCUUUGUUUUUUUGUGUGUGUGUCUAUUUUUGUCCUAGAUGGCCUGGCGCAGCAGGUAGGGGCGAACUCUAUGUCUGAGUUGGUCUUUGCUCAAGCAGUCCAGAAAUGGCUCAGAUAUGCUCCAGAUCGUACGGGUGGCGCGCAGGACGCACAUCAUCCAUCCCCAUCCCGGAGUAAAUAAUAAAAAGUGACAUGAAACAUAGAAAUGUAAAUAGGAAACUUUGUCUUUUAAUAAAGUAUUUUGCAAAUGAUACAUGUCUAUUGACCUUUUUUGUUUUUUUGUUUUUUUUUUCAAUAAAAAGCAACUGUACGAAAGAGGUGGAAAAUCAAUACCAUAGCUCAACAGUGUUUCAAUAUCAGAAUCUGACAUUGUUUCAAUGUCAACAGUGUUAGAAAAUAUAACGUAGAAUCAAUGUCAGGUUUCAACAUUGAUUCAACAUCAAAACCUGACGUUGUUUCAACGUUAAAAAUGGGUGCAAGAGUGAUGUUGGGUCAACGUCACACUUCAACGUUGCUUCAAUGACGUCGCCUGAUAUUGACUCAACAUUGUUUCAAUGUUUCCUUGCUAUCUGGGAAGGGUGCCUAUGCUGAACUAUGUCAGAUAAAAAGGGGAGAGAUGCUUGGUCAAAGUUCUCAAAGACAACUGGGCAGAAAAGAGAAACAGCAGGAGGGACAGGAUUAGAGGGAAAAGACCUGAGAGCCGAAAUCUUUUUUAAAAAUGUGAGAAACCUUGCAGAUGAGGGCACAAUACAAGCAGCACUACAUGGAUUUAUAAGAG
rnacentral:lncRNA from 1 species